rnacentral:rRNA from 1 species
UACGAAGGGGGCUAGCGUUGCUCGGAAUCACUGGGCGUAAAGCGCACGUAGGCGGAUCGUUAAGUCAGAGGUGAAAUCCUGGAGCUCAACUCCAGAACUGCCUUUGAUACUGAGGAUCUUGAGUUCGGGAGAGGUGAGUGGAACUGCGAGUGUAGAGGUGAAAUUCGUAGAUAUUCGCAAGAACACCAGUGGCGAAGGCGGCUCACUGGCCCGAUACUGACGCUGAGGCACGAAAGCGUGGGGAGCAAACAGG